rnacentral:rRNA from 1 species
GACGAACGCUGGCGGCGUGCUUAACACAUGCAAGUCGAACGGAAAGGCCCUGCUUUUGUGGGGUGCUCGAGUGGCGAACGGGUGAGUAACACGUGAGUAACCUGCCCUUGACUUUGGGAUAACUUCAGGAAACUGGGGCUAAUACCGGAUAGGAGCUCCUGCUGCAUGGGGGGGGUUGGAAAGUUUCGGCGGUGGGGGAUGGACUCGCGGCUUAUCAGCUUGUUGGGGGGGUAGUGGCUUACCAAGGCUUUGACGGGUAGCCGGCCUGAGAGGGUGACCGGCGACCUUGGGACUGCGAUACGGCCCAGACUCCUACGGGAGGCAGCGGUGGGGAAUAUUGCGCAAUGGGCGGAAGCCUGAUGCAGCAACGCCGCGUGCGGGAUGACGGCCUUCGAGUUGUAAACCGCUUUCGCCUGUGCCGAAGCGUGAGUGACGGUAAUGGGUAAAGAAGCACCGGCUAACUACGUG